UUCCAGAUAAAUAUCCUCGCAUUUGUUUAUUGCAUUACGACCUUUCUCGGUGAUAUCAGUUGGAUCUCCAAGUCCUAGACCAAUGAGAUAAUUUACUUCCAUUGGAUGGAGAUGCUUCUGAGAGAUAACCAGGCAAUGAAGAGGCGGUCCAAGAUCUACAGAAGACAUUUCUUUCAAAGUACAGGCAAUUAUUUGCUGGUCAUCGGAUCCAAUUCGUGCUAAACCAACAGCUAAGCUAACUGUCUCCUGUCAAAACUAAAAAUAAAAAAAACGCCAUUCGGCCACACCCGAAAUGGAAGAGCAUUAAAUACCUGUUCAAUAUGAUAAUUAUCGAAAUCUGGUAUCGUCAUCCUAACACAAAUAUCUCUGAGACUCCACGUUCUGUAAUAAAAUGACAUAAAAGAUAAAUAAAAUAAAUAAAAAU
rnacentral:lncRNA from 1 species